UACGAAGGGUGCUAGCGUUGUUCGGAAUUACUGGGCGUAAAGCGCGCGUAGGCGGCUAUCCAAGUCAGAGGUGAAAGCCCUGGGCUCAACCCAGGAAUUGCCUUUGAAACUGUUUAGCUUGAGUGUCGGAGGGGAUAGCGGAAUUCCUAAUGUAGAGGUGAAAUUCGUAGAUAUUAGGAGGAACACCGGUGGCGAAGGCGGCUAUCUGGACGACAACUGACGCUGAGGCGCGAAAGCACGGGGAUCAAACAGG
rnacentral:rRNA from 1 species